rnacentral:rRNA from 1 species
GGGAGUGGCAGACGGGUGAGUAACACGUGGGAACGUACCUUUCGGUUCGGAAUAACUCAGGGAAACUUGAGCUAAUACCGGAUACGUCCGCAAGGAGAAAGAUUUAUUGCCGAAAGAUCGGCCCGCGUCAGAUUAGCUAGUUGGUGGGGUAAUGGCCUACCAAGGCGACGAUCUGUAGCUGGUCUGAGAGGAUGAUCAGCCACACUGGGACUGAGACACGGCCCACACUCCUACGGGAGGCAGCAGUGGGGAAUAUUGGACAAUGGGCGAAAGCCUGAUCCAGCCAUGCCGCGUGAGUGAUGAAGGCCUUAGGGUUGUAAGGCUCUUUCGCCGAUGAUGAUAAUGACAGUAGUCGGAGAAGAAGCCCCGGCUAACUUCGUGCCAGCAGCCGCGGUAAUACGAAGGGGGCUAGCGUUGUUCGGAAUUACUGGGCGUAAAGCGCACGUAGGCGGACCUUUAAGUCAGGGGUGAAAUCCCGGGGCUCAACCCCGGAACUGCCUUUGAUACUGGGAGUCUCGAGUAUGGUAGAGGUGAGUGGAAUACCGAGUGUAGAGGUGGAAUUCGUAGAUAUUCGGUAGAACACCAGUGGCGAAGGCGGC